UAGGCGUAAAUGAUGCGAGUUAAGUGUGGGGGCAUCUACGAGAUGGCCCUGUGCUGUAGGGUAGCCGUUAAACUCGCUGCCUGGGGAGUACGGUCGCAAGGCUGAAACUUAAAGGAAUUGGCGGGGGGAGCACCACAAGAGGUGGAGGCUGCGGUUCAAUUGGACUCAACGCCGGAAAACUCAUCGGGAGCGACAGCAGUAUGAUUGCCAGGUUGAUGACCUUGCUUGACAAGCUGAGAGGGGGUGCAUGGCGUCAGUGACU
rnacentral:rRNA from 1 species